UUGGGCGUAAAGCGCGCGCAGGCGGUCCUUUAAGUCUGAUGUGAAAGCCCACGGCUCAACCCGUGGAGGGUCAUUGGAAACUGGAGGACUUGAGUGCAGAAGAGGAGAGUGGAAUUCCACGUGUAGCGGUGAAAUGCGUAGAGAUGUGGAGGAACACCAGUGGCGAAGGCGACUCUCUGGUCUGUAACUGACGCUGAGGCGCGAAAGCGUGGGUAGCGAACAGGAUUAGAUACCCUGGUAGUCCACGCCGUAAACGAUGAGUGCUAAGUGUUAGAGGGUUUCCGCCCUUUAGUGCUGCAGUUAACGCAUUAAGCACUCCGCCUGGGGAGUACGGCCGCAAGGCUGAAACUCAAAGGAAUUGACGGGGGCCCGCACAAGCGGUGGAGCAUGUGGUUUAAUUCGAAGCAACGCGAAGAACCUUACCAGGUCUUGACAUCCCGCUGACCGGUAUAGAGAUAUACCUUUCCCUUCGGGGACAGCGGUGACAGGUGGUGCAUGGUUGUCGUCAGCUCGUGUCGUGAGAUGUUGGGUUAAGUCCCGCAACGAGCGCAACCCUUAAUCUUAGUUGCCAGCAUUCAGUUGGGCACUCUAAGGUGACUGCCGGUGACAAACCGGAGGAAGGUGGGGAUGACGUCAAAUCAUCAUGCCCCUUAUGACCUGGGCUACACACGUGCUACAAUGGAUGGUACAAAGGGUCGCAAAACCGCGAGGUCAAGCUAAUCCCAUAAAACCAUUCUCAGUUCGGAUUGCAGGCUGCAACUCGCCUGCAUGAAGCCGGAAUCGCUAGUAAUCGUAGAUCAGAAUGCUACGGUGAAUACGUUCCCGGGCCUUGUACACACCGCCCGUCACACCACGAGAGUUUGUAACACCCGAAGUCGGUGGGGUAACCCUUACGGGAGCCAGCCGCCGAAGGUGGGACAGAUGAUUGGGGUGAAGUCGUAACAAGGUAACC
rnacentral:rRNA from 1 species